UCAAAAUAAAUGAGCUGAAAAAUGGAUACAAAUCAAAACGAGCACACUAUGUAAUUAAUGAAUUACAUAGAUACUUCACGCAUAUCAUUAUUCAUUAUUCCGCGCUAUAUAUAUAUCGAAAAUAUACGCAGAAAUUACGGGAUGUAUACUUUCUGCAACAACAUUUCGUUGUAUUCAAUUCUCUGCUCCAAAGAUCCUCUUUUCAGCACACCCAUGUAGAAAUACUAUCCACAUAUAAUAUCAAGGCAUCUUUUAAUCUCAUCUGUUUCCCUUCCUCUAAUCGCAGCAAAGGUCACACAGCCAGCAGCAGCAUAGUGCGGCGAUGCUGAUAAAGCACAACCAAUAAGUACAUCAUUAUUCAGACAAUAAUUUUAAAAUUAGAGCAUAUGGAUGGGGAGUGUAUUUUAAUUAGUUACCAUCCAUCGAUGAAUCUGGUCUUUCUCCCGCGAGCCGUCGUUCGUCCGCGGCCGCCGUGCUCUGAAUCCACCGUCGGGUAGCCUGACGAAAGCGAAACCAAAUUAAUAACAAAAAAAAAAACCAAAAGUAUGAUCGAUGCUAGAAAUUAAUUAAGACCACAGAAGUGUACUCCCUCCGUACUCAUAAAGGAAGUCGUUUUGGACAGCGACACGGUGUUCAAAACACAACUUUGACUUCUUGUUUCAAAUAAAAAUAUUUAUUGAAAAGUGAUAUAUGUAUACUUUUAUGAAAGUAUUUUUCAAGACAAAUUUAUUCAUAUAAUUUUUACAUUUUCAAAUUCAACAACUUAAGAGUUAUUAAUGAUUUAUAUUCUCAAGGUUUGACUUAAACAUUGUACUAAACGACUUCCUUUAUGAGUACGGAGGGAGUACAUGUAUAUAUACUUGGUUGCUUAAUUAAUUGACCAAUAAUUAAAUACCUGGUGGUGGUUGCAGGUUCUUGUUGUUGCUGUCCAUGCUAGCUACACACUGGCUGCGUUCUACUGCGAAUUUAUAGCUAGCUAGCUCGCACUACUAGAUCAAGGAGAGGUUUCUUUGAUCAAGUAGCUAGCUGCGUUAAUUUCUUUGUCAAAUUUGUGUUGUUU
rnacentral:lncRNA from 1 species